rnacentral:rRNA from 1 species
UACGUAGGGUGCGAGCGUUGUCCGGAAUUAUUGGGCGUAAAGAGCUCGUAGGCGGUCUGUCGCGUCGAUCGUGAAAACUUGGGGCUUAACCCUGAGCUUGCGGUCGAUACGGGCAUGACUGGAGUUCGGCAGGGGAGACUGGAAUUCCUGGUGGUAGCGGUGAAAUGCGCAGGAUAUCAGGAGGAACACCGGUGGCGAAGGCGGGUCUCUGGGCCGAUACUGACGCUGAGGCACGAAAGCGUGGGGAGCAAACAGG